AAAAGUGAACCAUCAAAGCACAAUUAAAACUUUGCCGCCCAAAAUGACGUUGUCCUUCCAUCUUCAUCUGAUUUCUUGCACACAUACAAAUCAACCACACAACUGGUUUCGACCAUCUCUAUCUCUCGACACCCCUACAACCCACCUUCACUUCCAUGGUUAAACACCACGAUGUAGUUCGCCACCCGCAAUCAGUAUCGGACACCUUCACAACACCGUAACACCUUUCGUUAAGCCUUGCACCCCGCCGGAGAAGGACCGCAACACCUCGGAGUAAUCGAGGUGCCUUCGAAGAAUAACAAGCCUUCCCGGAACGUGAAGACGACACUGAAGACUUUCGGAGCUUACGACGGAACUCAACCCGUCACCGUCUUGCCGCCGGAACUCGAAGACGUCACGGAGCACGAGUCGGAGACGACCGAGGUUCACAACGGGAAUCAUCUCGUCAUCUCAUCGCCGAAGCUGUUCGAAUCACGUUGAAGCUUACUGUUCGAUCUGAUCAUAAAAAUUGAAGGUAUGUUGUGAAGACCUUCUUUCAGACUCCUUCCCCUACAAGGAACUAUUGAAUGGGUUCCUAUGAGAAGUUGAAGAAAAGUUAUGGAUAAUGAAAACAAUGCUCCUUCGUUAUUAAAGUCGAUUGAGGACUAUGAUCCUAUAUUUUUCGAAUUGUUCGUCGACCAAAAACAGUUAUGGAUCAUGAAAACAACGCUCCUUCGUUGUUAAAGUUGAUUGAGAACUAUGAUCCUAUAUUUUUGGAAAUACCAUAUGAUUUUGCAACCUUAUUGUGGGGAGAACAACUUCCAUAUGUCAAUGUCUUAAAAUUAGUGAUGAUGAUUUAUCGUGAGUCAUUGAGUUAUAAUUUUUGUAUUUAGU
rnacentral:lncRNA from 1 species